GAUGUAGCUCAGUGGUGGAGUGGCUGCCUAGCAUGUACUUGAUUGGUCCUGGGUUCAAUCCCUAGUGCAACA
rnacentral:tRNA from 1 species